rnacentral:rRNA from 1 species
CCUACGGGAGGCAGCAGUGGGGAAUAUUGGGCAAUGGGCGCAAGCCUGACCCAGCAACGCCGCGUGAAGGAAGAAGGCUUUCGGGUUGUAACCUUCUUUUAUCAGGGACGAAGCAAGUGACGGUACCUGAUGAUUAAGCCACGGCUAACUACGUGCCAGCAGCCGCGGUAAUACGUAGGUGGCAAGCGUUAUCCGGAUUUACUGGGUGUAAAGGGCGUGUAGGCGGGCGUGCAAGUCAGAUGUGAAAACUAUGGGGUCAACCCAUAGCGUGCAUUUGAAACUGUACUUCUUGAGUGCUGGAGAGGCAAUCGGAAUUCCGGGUGUAGCGGUGAAAUGCGUAGAUAUACGGAGGAACACCAGUGGCGAAGGCGGAUUGCUGGACAGUAACUGACGCUGAGGCGCGAAAGCGUGGGGAGCAAACAGGAUUAGAUACCCUAGUAGUC